rnacentral:rRNA from 1 species
UACGGAGGGGGCUAGCGUUGUUCGGAAUUACUGGGCGUAAAGCGCACGUAGGCGGCUUUGUAAGUUAGAGGUGAAAGCCUGGAGCUCAACUCCAGAACUGCCUUUAAAACUGCAUCGCUUGAAUCCAGGAGAGGUGAGUGGAAUUCCGAGUGUAGAGGUGAAAUUCGUAGAUAUUCGGAAGAACACCAGUGGCGAAGGCGGCUCACUGGACUGGUAUUGACGCUGAGGUGCGAAAGCGUGGGGAGCAAACAGG